GACGAACGCUGGCGGCGUGCUUAACACAUGCAAGUCGAACGAAGUGGCGAACGGGUGAGUAACGCGUAAUCAACCUGCCCUUCAGAGGGGUACAACAGUUGGAAACGACUGCUAAUACCGCAUACUGAAGGAGGGGAUUGCGUUGGAUUGGCUAGUUGGAGGGGUAACGGCCCACCAAGGCGAUGAUCAGUAGCCGGGCUGAUGAGAUGAACGGCCACAUUGGGACUGAGAAACGGCCCAGACUUCUACGGGAGGCAGCAGUGGGGAAUCUUCCGAAAUGGACGAAAGUCUGAAGGAGCAACGCCGCGUGAGUGAUGACGGCCUUCGGGUUGUAAAGCUCUGUUAAGCGGGACGCGGUACCGGAAUAGAAAGCCACGGCUAACUACGUGCCAGCCGCCGCGGUAAUAC
rnacentral:rRNA from 1 species